GUCCACGCCGUAAACGAUGGGUGCUAGGUGUGGGCGGUGUCGACUCCGUCCGUGCCGAAGCUAACGCAUUAAGCACCCCGCCUGGGGAGUACGGCCGCAAGGCUAAAACUCAAAGGAAUUGACGGGGCCCGCACAAGCAGCGGAGCAUGUGGUUCAAUUCGACGCAACGCGAAGAACCUUACCUAGGCUUGACAUGCACUGGAAUUGCAUAGAAAUAUGUAAGCCCUUCGGGGCUAGUGCACAGGUGGUGCAUGGCUGUCGU
rnacentral:rRNA from 1 species